CCUACGGGAGGCAGCAGUGGGGGAUAUUGCACAAUGGGGGGAACCCUGAUGCAGCGACGCCGCGUGGGUGAAGAAGCGCCUCGGCGCGUAAAGCCCUGUCAGCAGGGAAGAAAAUGACGGUACCUGAAGAAGAAGCCCCGGCUAACUACGUGCCAGCAGCCGCGGUAAUACGUAGGGGGCAAGCGUUAUCCGGAUUUACUGGGUGUAAAGGGGGCGCAGACGGCGAUGCAAGCCAGGAGUGAAAGCCCGGGGCCCAACCCCGGGACUGCUCUUGGAACUGCGUGGCUAGAGUGCAGGAGAGGCAGGCGGAAUUCCUGGUGUAGCGGUGAAAUGCGUAGAGAUCAGGAGGAACACCGGUGGCGAAGGCGGCCUGCUGGACUGCAACUGACGUUGAGGCCCGAAAGCGUGGGGAGCAAACAGGAUUAGAUACCCGGGUAGUC
rnacentral:rRNA from 1 species